GCUGGGCGGGCCGGGCUGGGCGGCCCCGGCGGCGGGGGCGGUCCGCUCCCGGAGGCCGCGCCUCCUUUGCACCCUCCUUCCUGAAGAUGGCCGCGCAGGCCAGGGCUCCGGCACCCGGCUGCGGACCAGAUCCCCUGGGCUGCACCCGGCCUUGCGCCCCUGGUCCGCGCUCGCAGGCUCGGAAACGGGCGGUCCUCCCGAGGCUGAAAGGGAAAAAAGGAAAAUGAAGUCCUAUUAAUAUGUUUAUGAUAGGAAGAAUAAUUAGAAAAGUAGAAUAAAAAAACUGAAGCAUGGUG
rnacentral:lncRNA from 1 species